rnacentral:rRNA from 1 species
AGUGGGGAAUAUUGGGCAAUGGGCGCAAGCCUGACCCAGCAACGCCGCGUGAGGGAAGAAGGUCUUCGGAUUGUAAACCUCUGUCCUUGGUGAAAAGUAAGAGAUGGUAGCCAAGGAGGAAGCUCCGGCUAACUACGUGCCAGCAGCCGCGGUAAUACGUAGGGAGCGAGCGUUGUCCGGAAUGAUUGGGCGUAAAGGGCGUGUAGGCGGCCGUUUAAGUCUGGAGUGAAAUUCCUGUUUUUAAGGUAGGAACUGCUUUGGAAACUGGACGGCUUGAGUGCAGGAGAGGUUAUCGGAAUUCCCGGUGUAGCGGUGAAAUGCGUAGAGAUCGGGAGGAACACCAGUGGCGAAGGCGGGUAACUGGACUGCAACUGACGCUGAGGCGCGAAAGUGUGGGGAGCAAACAGGAUUAGAUACCCUGGUAGUCCACACUGUAAACGAUGAAUGCUAGGUGUAGGGGGUAUCGACCCCUUCUGUGCCGGAGUCAACACAAUAAGCAUUCCGCCUGGGGAGUACGGCCGCAAGGUUGAAACUCAAAGGAAUUGACGGGGGCCCGCACAAGCAGCGGAGCAUGUGG